UACGGAGGGAGCUAGCGUUGUUCGGAAUUACUGGGCGUAAAGCGCACGUAGGCGGCUUUGUAAGUUAGAGGUGAAAGCCCGGAGCUCAACUCCGGAACUGCCUUUAAGACUGCAUCGCUUGAAUCCAGGAGAGGUGAGUGGAAUUCCGAGUGUAGAGGUGAAAUUCGUAGAUAUUCGGAAGAACACCAGUGGCGAAGGCGGCUCACUGGACUGGUAUUGACGCUGAGGUGCGAAAGCGUGGGGAGCAAACGGGG
rnacentral:rRNA from 1 species